rnacentral:rRNA from 1 species
CCCAGACUCCUACGGGAGGCAGCAGUGGGGAAUAUUGCACAAUGGGGGGAACCCUGAUGCAGCGACGCCGCGUGGGUGAAGGAGCGUUUCGGCGCGUAAAGCCCUAUCGGCAGGGAAGAAGGAGGACGGUACCUGACUAAGAAGCCCCGGCUAACUACGUGCCAGCAGCCGCGGUAAUACGUAGGGGGCAAGCGUUAUCCGGAUUUACUGGGUGUAAAGGGGGCGCAGACGGCAGCGCAAGCCAGGAGUGAAAGCCCGGGGCCCAACCCCGGGACUGCUCUUGGAACUGCGCGGCUGGAGUGCAGGAGGGGCAGGCGGAAUUCCUGGUGUAGCGGUGAAAUGCGUAGAUAUCAGGAGGAACGCCGGUGGCGAAGGCGGCCUGCUGGACUGCGACUGACGUUGAGGCCCGAAAGCGUGGGGAGCAAACAGGAUUAGAUACCCGUGUAGU